ACAACCCGUGGCCUGUUCUGGCGAUAUCAACUACAGUCACUGCACUUUGCGGCUUUUCUUGGCUAAGACUGUUAAUAAUCAAUUUUAUAAUUAGUCAUAUAAUCAACGAGUCUGCUCUGCUUGUUUUUUGUUAAAAGUUUCUCGGAUUAUUAUAGUGAGUGGUGCUUUUUGUGUGUAUCCUUUUGGAUAAAGAAAGACAGCGGAAAGACAGAGAGAGAGCAGCGUUGCAAGGGCAUGCGUUUUGGCUACAGAAUGACAGAGACAUGGAAACCAAAAACAAGGCAUACGAAGGACAGCGGAAAGACAGAGAGAGAGCAGCGUUGCAAGGGCAUGCGUUUUGGCUACAGAAUGACAGAGACAUGGAAACCAAAAACAAGGCAUACGAAGGGCAGUUGAAAGUCUAACCAGGACAGAAAGGCAUGAAUUUCGGCUACAGAGGCAUGAAGUUCAAAACAAGAUAACAGAAUGACAGAGACACGAAGAAAGAAGGCAUACGAAGGGUAAGUUGCUAGAUUUUUCUGCAUUUCAGAUCGCGUCGUUUGUACCGAUUCAAUACACAGUUAAAUAUGCUGGCUUGAUACGGUACCCGUGUCGUGUAGGGGUCUAUCUUAAACGAUUACCUAAGGGUAAUCAUUGGAUUUUUCCUUGCCAACGAAAAAAGGUUUCAGCCACACGCGAAAAACUUAAAUCCGCCCGUGAACGCGAAAGGCCUUCGGGCUAUCGAAACGAUAAAAAUGGCUGUCUUGUGGUUAGGGCAAAUUCAAAAUAUAAUU